rnacentral:misc_RNA from 1 species
AGUCGUAACAAGGUCUCCGACGGUGAACCUGCGGAGGGAUCAUUCAAGUGACCCCCGGUCUUACCACCGGGGAUGUUCAUAACCCCUUUGUUGUCCGACUCUGUUGCCCUCCCGGGGGCGACCCUGCCCUUCGGGCGGGGGCUCCGGGUGGACACUUCAAACUCUUGCGUAACUUUGCAGUCUGGUAACUUAAUUAAUAAUUAAA